GACGAACGCUGGCGGCGUGCUUAACACAUGCAAGUCGAACGGAAAGGCCCUGCUUGUGUGGGGUGCUCGAGGGGCGAACGGGGGAGUAACACGUGAGUAACCUGCCCUUGACUUUGGGAUAACUUCAGGAAACUGGGGCUAAUACCGGAUAGGAGCUCCUGCUGCAUGGUGGGGGUUGGAAAGUUUCGGCGGUUGGGGUUGGACUCGCGGCUUAUCAGCUUGUUGGUGGGGUAGUGGCUUACCAAGGCUUGGACGGGUAGCCGGCCUGGGAGGGUGACCGGCCACAUUGGGACUGGGAUACGGCCCAGACUCCUACGGGAGGCAGCAGUGGGGAAUAUUGCACAAUGGGCGGAAGCCUGAUGCAGGAACGCCGCGUGCGGGAUGACGGCCUUCGGGUUGUAAACCGCUUUCACCUGUGACGAAGCGUGAGUGACGGUAAUGGGUAAAGAAGCACCGGCAAACUACGU
rnacentral:rRNA from 1 species